rnacentral:rRNA from 1 species
UACAGAGGGGGCCAGCGUUAUUCGGAAUUAUUGGGCGUAAAGGGCGCGUAGGCGGCCAUGCGUGUCUUCCGUGAAAUCCCUCGGCUUAACUGAGGACGUGCGGAAGAAACUGCAAGGCUCGAGUCCGGGAGAGGGGGGUGGAAUUCCCAGUGUAGCGGUGAAAUGCGUAGAUAUUGGGAGGAACACCGAUGGCGAAGGCAGGUCUCUGAGCAUUAACUGACGCUGAGGAGCGAAAGCAUGGGGAGCGAACAGG